AUUGAACGCUGGCGGCAUGCUUUACACAUGCAAGUCGAACGGUAACAGGUCUUCGGAUGCUGACGAGUGGCGAACGGGUGAGUAAUACAUCGGAACGUGCCUAGUAGUGGGGGAUAACUACUCGAAAGAGUAGCUAAUACCGCAUGAGAUCUACGGAUGAAAGCAGGGGACCUUCGGGCCUUGUGCUACUAGAGCGGCUGAUGGCAGAUUAGGUAGUUGGUGGGGUAAAGGCUUACCAAGCCUGCGAUCUGUAGCUGGUCUGAGAGGACGACCAGCCACACUGGGACUGAGACACGGCCCAGACUCCUACGGGAGGCAGCAGUGGGGAAUUUUGGACAAUGGGCGAAAGCCUGAUCCAGCAAUGCCGCGUGCAGGAUGAAGGCCCUCGGGUUGUAAACUGCUUUUGUACGGAACGAAAAGCCCUGGGUUAAUACCCUGGGGUCAUGACGGUACCGUAAGAAUAAGCACCGGCUAACUACGUGCCAGCAGCCGCCGUAAUAC
rnacentral:rRNA from 1 species